UACGGGGGGGGCAAGCGUUGUUCGGAAUUACUGGGCGUAAAGGGCUCGUAGGCGGCCAACUAAGUCGGAUGUGAAAUCCCCAGGCUUAACCUGGGAAUUGCAUCCGAUACUGGAUGGCUUGAAUCCGGGAGAGGGAUGCGGAAUUCCAGGUGUAGCGGUGAAAUGCGUAGAUAUCUGGAGGAAUACCGGUGGCGAAGGCGGCAUCCUGGACCGGCAUUGACGCUGAGGAGCGAAAGCUAGGGGAGCAAACGGG
rnacentral:rRNA from 1 species